rnacentral:rRNA from 1 species
AGCUAGCCCAUUCUUCCAUCUUCAACAUAAAUCUACGACUAACCCCUAAAUUACUACAAAAAUAAAACCAAACCAUUUUUUACCCAAGUAUAGGCGAUAAAAAAGGAAAUUAGAGCAAUAAAAAAGUACCGCAAGGGAACGCUGAAAGAGAAAUGAAAUAAUCCAGUAAAGUACAAAAAAGCAGAGAUUUUCCCUCGUACCUUUUGCAUCAUGUUUUAGCAAGUAAUCAUAAGCGAAGAGCAUUAUAGUUUAUAAUCCCGAAACUAAACGAGCUACUUCAAGACAGCUUAUCAAAAGGGCAAACACGUCUCUGUAGCAAAAGAGUGUGAAGAUCUUCAAGUAGAGGUGACAAACCUACCGAGUUUAGUUAUAGCUGGUUGCCUGAGAACUGAAUAGAAGUUCAGCCCUUAUUUUUCUCAAAUUACCCCAGACCCCGUCCCCAAUUAAAUUUUAAAGAAAAUUAAGGAGUUAGUCAAAAGGGGUACAGCCCUUUUGAACAAGAAUACAACCUUUAAAGUAGGAUAAUGAUCACAUUUAAACACAAGGCACAAAUUGUCUCAGUGGGCCUAGAAGCAGCCACCUUAAAAGAAAGCGUUAAAGCUCAAGCAUGCCUCUAAACCUAUAAUCUCGAUAAAUCAUUAAUAAUCCACUAUAUUUAUCAGGCUAUUCCACCCCGUGGAAGAAAUUAUGCUAAUAUGAGUAAUAAGAGAAAUUAUAUCUCUCCUAACACAAGUGUAAAUCGGAACGGACCCACCACCGAAAAUCAACGACCCUAACCAAAGAAGGUAGUGAGAUAAAAAAAGACAACUAGAAAAACCCUCAAUAAAAAUCGUUACCCCUACACUGGUGUGUAUACAUGGAAAGACUAAAAGAAGAAGAAGGAACUCGGCAAAACAACUCAACGGCCCCGCCUGUUUACCAAAAACACCGCCUCCUGUCAACCAAACAUAGGAGGUCCCGCCUGCCCUGUGACAUUUUGUUUAACGGCCGCGGUAUUCUAACCGUGCAAAGGUAGCGCAAUCACUUGUCUUUUAAAUGAAGACCUGUAUGAAUGGCAUAACGAGGGCUAAACUGUCUCCUCCUUCCAGUCAAUGAAAUUGAUCUCCCCGUGCAGAAGCGGGGAUGUGUCCAUAAGACGAGAAGACCCUAUGGAGCUUAAAACGAAAGAGCAGACCAUGUUAAUAUACCUUAGCUAAAAGAUCAAACUAAUUGUAAACCUGCUCUAGUGUUUUCGGUUGGGGCGACCACGGAGCACAAUAAAACCCCCGUGAGGAAUAAAUGUACUACAUUUUAAAGUAAGAGCGACAGCUCUAAAUAACAGAACUUCUGACCCACAAGAUCCGGCCAGACCGAUCAACGAACCAAGUUACCCUAGGGAUAACAGCGCAAUCCCCUUCUAGAGCCCACAUCGACAAGGGGGUUUACGACCUCGAUGUUGGAUCAGGACAUCCUAAUGGUGUAGCCGCUAUUAAGGGUUCGUUUGUUCAACGAUUAAAGUCCUACGUGAUCUGAGUUCAGACCGGAGUAAUCCAGGUCAGUUUCUAUCUAUGCAGUGCCCUUUCCUAGUACGAAAGGACCGGAAAGGAAAGGCCUCUGCCACAGGCAUGCCUUACCUCCAUCUAAUGAAGUCAACUAAAUUAGACAAGCAGGCACAUAAAGAUGUCUGAGAUAAAGACAU